AUUGAACGCUGGCGGCAGGCCUAACACAUGCAAGUCGAACGAGUGGCGGACGGGUGAGUAAUGUCUGGGAAACUGCCUGAUGGAGGGGGAUAACUACUGGAAACGGUAGCUAAUACCGCAUACCAUCAGAUGUGCCCAGAUGGGAUUAGCUAGUAGGUGGGGUAAUGGCUCACCUAGGCGACGAUCCCUAGCUGGUCUGAGAGGAUGACCAGCAACACUGGAACGGGGACACGGCCCAGACCCCUACGGGAGGCAGCGGGGGGAAAUAUUGCACAAGGGGCGCAAGCCUGAGGCAGCCAUGCCGCGUGUGGAAAGAGGGCCUUCGGGUUGUAAAGCACUUUCAGCGAGAAGGCGUUACUCGCAGAAGAAGCACCGGCUAACUCCGUGCCAGCAGCCGCGUAAUAC
rnacentral:rRNA from 1 species